rnacentral:rRNA from 1 species
UACGUAGGGACCGAGCGUUGUCCGGAAUCAUUGGGCGUAAAGAGCGUGUAGGCGGCUAUUUAAGUCCUGCGUGAAAUCCUGCGGCUCAACCGCAGACGGUCGUGGGAAACUGGAUGGCUAGAGUGCGGGAGAGGAGAGUGGAAUUCCCGGUGUAGCGGUGAAAUGCGCAGAUAUCGGGAGGAACACCAGUGGCGAAGGCGACUACCUGGCCUGUUCUUGACGCUGAGGCGCGAAAGCUAGGGGAGCAAACGGG